CGGAGUGAACGAACCGCUGGUGUUCGGGUUGUCAUGCCAAUGGCAUUGCCCGGUAGCUACGUUCGGAACUGAUAAGCGCUGAAAGCAUCUAAGCGCGAAGCAGGCCUCGAGAUGAUUUCUCACUAGACUUUUAAAGUCUCUGAAGGGCCGUUGAAGACUACAACGUUGAUAGGCAAGAUGUGGAAGUGGUGUGAGCCAUUAAGCUAACUUGUACUAAUUACCCGUGAGGCUUAACCAUACAACGCCAAACGCGUUUUG
rnacentral:rRNA from 1 species